UCCUACAGCUGGUGAGUGGUGGGGCUGGGAUCCCAUUUCUGACUCAGGAGACUGUAUUUAUAGCUGUUCUGUAAACCAGUAUGUGGAAGGUUCGGCAAAGCACCAAGGAGGGAAUCAUUAGCUCUGGAGCACCCAGGAGGACUUCAUGGACGAGGUGACAUGUGAGCAGAGAUCUAAAGAAUGAAGGGGACUCCCGCUGGCAGAUGAGAGCAGGAAAUUACAUUUCAGUUGGCUGGAGAGAUGGAGUAGAGAAUAUUCCUCAGCUAAUAAAAAACAAUGACGGAGAUCUUGGUGUGCCGACGGGGAAACACUCUCACGAGUUUCUCUGAAGAACCCGAAGAAGGUUCUCUGUGAGAAGCCUAAGAAGCAGAGCCAAGGUGGAGAAUGGGCCACGGAACCAGCUGGUGGGAUCUGAGGGCUGUGGGCACAAUGUCUGCCCCAGAAGCCAUCCUCGGAGCACCUGGGUGGCUCAGUCGGUUGAACAUCUGGCUCUUGAUUCUGGCUCAGGUCAUGAUCUCAGGGUUGUGGGCUCAAGCCCUGA